rnacentral:rRNA from 1 species
GUGGGGAAUAUUGGACAAUGGGCGAAAGCCUGAUCCAGCCAUGCCGCGUGUGUGAAGAAGGUCUUCGGAUUGUAAAGCACUUUAAGUUGGGAGGAAGGGCAGUAAGUUAAUACCUUGCUGUUUUGACGUUACCGACAGAAUAAGCACCGGCUAACUCUGUGCCAGCAGCCGCGGUAAUACAGAGGGUGCAAGCGUUAAUCGGAAUUACUGGGCGUAAAGCGCGCGUAGGUGGUUCGUUAAGUUGGAUGUGAAAGCCCCGGGCUCAACCUGGGAACUGCAUCCAAAACUGGCGAGCUAGAGUACGGUAGAGGGUGGUGGAAUUUCCUGUGUAGCGGUGAAAUGCGUAGAUAUAGGAAGGAACACCAGUGGCGAAGGCGACCACCUGGACUGAUACUGACACUGAGGUGCGAAAGCGUGGGGAGCAAACAGGAUUAGAAACCCGUGUAGUCC